GACGAACGCUGGCGGCGUGCCUAAUACAUGCAAGUUGAGCGCUGAAGGUUGGUACUUGUACCGACUGGAUGAGCAGCGAACGGGUGAGUAACGCGUGGGGAAUCUGCCUUUGAGCGGGGGACAACAUUUGGAAACGAAUGCUAAUACCGCAUAAAAACUUUAAACACAAGUUUUAAGUUUGAAAGAUGCAAUUGCAUCACUCAAAGAUGAUCCCGCGUUGUAUUAGCUAGUUGGUGAGGUAAAGGCUCACCAAGGCGAUGAUACAUAGCCGACCUGAGAGGGUGAUCGGCCACAUUGGGACUGAGACACGGCCCAAACUCCUACGGGAGGCAGCUGUAGGGAAUCUUCGGCAAUGGACGAAAGUCUGACCGAGCAACGCCGCGUGAGUGAAGAAGGUUUUCGGAUCGUAAAACUCUGUUGGUAGAGAAGAACGUUGGUGAGAGUGGAAAGCUCAUCAAGUGACGGUAACUACCCAGAAAGGGACGGCUAACUACGUG
rnacentral:rRNA from 1 species